UUGAGCCGGAUGAUGGGAAACUAUCCAGUCCGGUUCUUAGAGGGGGGAGUAAGAGCGAUCUUAUUCCUCUACUCGGC
rfam:Reticulomyxa filosa contig49253_1.exp, whole genome shotgun sequence.